GGGAGCUCUCCCAUAUGGUCGACCUGCAGGCGGCCGCGAAUUCACUAGUGAUUAGAGUUUGAUCAUGGCUCAGCACCCGCGGUAAUACGUUAUUACCCCGCCUGCUGGCCCGGAGUUACCCGGAGCUUAUUCUCCCGGCCCUGUCAUUAUCAUCCCGGGUAAAAGAGCUUUACGACCCUAAGGCCUUCAUCACUCACGCGGCAUUGCUGGAUCAGGCUUGCGCCCAUUGUCCAAUAUUCCCCACUGCUGCCUCCCGUAGGAGUCUGGGCCGUGUCUCAGUCCCAGUGUGGCUGAUCAUCCUCUCAGACCAGCUAAGGAUCGUCGGCUUGGUAAGCCUUUACCCCACCAACUACCUAAUCCUACGCGGGCUCAUCCAUCAGCGAUAAAUCUUUCCUCCAAAGAGAAUAUACGGUAUUAGCAAUUAUUUCUAAAUGUUAUCCCGUACUGAUGGGCAGAUUCCCACGUGUUACUCACCCGUCUGCCACUAAUUUAUUUAAAGCAAGCUCUAAAUAAAUCCGUUCGACUUGCAUGUGUUAAGCAUACCGAAAGCGUUCGUUCUGAGCCAGGAUCAAACUCUAAUCGAAUUCCCGCGGCCGCCAUGGCAGCCGGGAGCAUG
rnacentral:rRNA from 1 species